rnacentral:tRNA from 1 species
GGGCGAGUGGUGAAAUUGGCAGACACGUACGCUUCAGGUGCGUAUGGCCGCAAGGCCUUGGAGGUUCAAGUCCUCUCUCGCCCA